GAUAAAGGUUAUUCAAGACCCAGAAAGAGUCCCAAAGGUUACCCCUUUGGAAAAACCCACCACCACUGGAUCAAUAUUGUUCUACAGCAUUGUGUGGAAACCAGAGUAUUUCAGACAAUAAUGGAGCAUAGAAAGGAGGUGAGCAGCAACCUACAAAGCACCGGGGAUAAAGCUGGCCCUGCAGGCCCCAGGGCCAGCUGUGGUGGCUGUGGCACAGCUGCCUGGGCAGCCCUGUGCAGACAGCUCUGACCCCUGACUCCUGCUGGAGCCUUGGCAAACCCCUCUGCAGCAGCUGCUCUGCUGCUCACACAGACUUCCUUGGGCACUUUAUAUUUGCAUUAAAGCUUUUUGCCCUCUCAGCCUGCAGAGCUGCAAGAAAUUCUCAGUUAAGAUUCUAAAUUACAUUAAAAAUGUAAUUUAGGGGGGAAAACAAUCCAUCCUCUUAAGAAGUUUUUGUGUCCCUAGAGUGCAGAGGUUGCCAGGCUGGUUGUGCAGGAGAGAAGAGAAACACUGGUUCUCUGGUUUUGGGCAGGUGGUCUGUGAAAUUUCUCUAAGUGCCUUUUCCCCCUUCCAAAACAGGUCUUGUUUAAGGUUAGUAGCUUUUUGUAGAACAUUCCUACAAUGUACUGUGCCGGUCUUAAUGUGAGCUAUAGAAAUUUCAGUCUGUAUGGACUUGGGCUGCAAGCCUGCUUUGGUAGAAAUCCAUGACUGUUCUGUGUUUUGUUUCCUUCAGUACUCCAUUGGGAAGUUAGAGGGCAUCAUGUCUGAAGAGAUUUGGCCUCUCAGAAAUGCAGCCCAGCUUCUGAUCAGACUGAGAUGUGUGGGCAGGCCCCAGCCAGCAUUGUGCAAAAUAAGAGUUUGUUUACAGAUAAAGAAAUAACACAAAGGUGCAGUGGAAUGAAUAUAAAACUUCA
ensembl:lncRNA